UAGUCUACGCUGUAAACGAUGAUUACUCGUUGUUGGGAUUUCUCAGUGACUAAGCGAAAGUGAUAAGUAAUCCACCUGGGGAGUACGUUCGCAAGAAUGAAACUCAAAGGAAUUGACGGGGGCCCGCACAAGCGGUGGAUCAUGUGGUUUAAUUCGAUGAUACGCGAGGAACCUUACCAGGUCUUAAAUGUAUUUUGACAGCUUUAGAGAUAGAGUUUUCUUCGGACAGAAUACAAGGUGCUGCAUGGUUGUCGUCAGCUCGUGCCGUGAGGUGUUAGGUUUAGUCCUUUAACGAGCGCAACCCUUGUCAUUAGUUGCUAUCGAGUCAAGUCGAGGACUCUAAUGAGACUGCCAGUGUAAACUGCGAGGAAGGUGGGGAUGACGUCAAAUCAUCACGGCCCUUAUGACCUGGGCUACACACGUGAUACAAUGGUUGAUACAGAGGGGAGCUACUAGGUGACUAGGUGCGAAUCUUAAAAAUCAAAUCUCAGUUCGGA
rnacentral:rRNA from 1 species